rnacentral:misc_RNA from 1 species
UCGCUGAUGGCGUCAUCGAGGGCGACUGCACAUUGCUGCUACUCGUGGAAUCCUGUUGCUUCUCAGAGACCAUCGCUACCCGUGACAAAGACAUGGAGCUGGCUCCAGCAGACUGAUUCUAAUGCCUACGUUCCUGAGGUCCUCGGGGCACCACUCGUCGUAUGGCCGAACUCAUUGCCACAUUUGCACUGCUUCGCUGACGGCGACAUCCAGGGAGACGGGACAUGGCCACUAGUUUUGCAUACGGCUCCCAGCGUGUUCUGGCGUGUGGCGCGCUACAGAAGAUUGGCCCAGCCCGCUCACUGACAUCAACGUCCGUGGAAUUUCCUCGAGUGACUGUGUCCAGCCUGACCGUUCUACCGGGGACUCUGAACCAGUCAAGUCUUCGUACGUUUGUGAGACUUUGUUGGUGUCCUGCACUGUCUUCGCUGCGUGUGGGUGUUCUCCGCAAGUGCUGCAGUCGCCGUCGCUCGACCACCUAUCCUGUGUUGCACUAGUGUCAACAGUCUAGUGUAGCAACCCACCCUAUGUUGAGAGCUGCGCUUCGCUCAGCCAACGGCUAGGGCAUCUAGCAGUUACAAAAAUACGAACCCAAAGAACUGUCAUAAUCACUGAUUUCUCACUCAUGAGCUGAUCUAUGAAUGUUUGGUGGUGAGGGUAAGGACAUUUACAUUGUGCG